rnacentral:rRNA from 1 species
UCGCCUGUUUAACAAAAACAUGUCUAUAUGAAAAUAUAUAAAGUCUAACCUGCCCACUGAUAUAUAAUUAAAGGGCCGCGGUAUUUCGACUGUGCGAAGGUAGCAUAAUAAUUUGUCUUUUAAUUGAAGACUAGAAUGAAUGGUUGGACGAGAAAUAAACUGUCUCUUUAAAAAAAUUUGAAUUUUACUUUUAAGUGAAAAGGCUUAAAUAAAUUUAAGGGACGAUAAGACCCUAUAAAUCUUUAUAUUUUUAUUUUUUUACUUUAAUUUGUMUGUAUAAUAAAUAAAAACUAAAAAAAUAUUUUAUUGGGGCAAUAAAAAUAUAAUUUUUAACUGUUUUACUAAAUUAACAAUAAUAUUUGAAUAUAUUAAAAGAUCCUUAAUAAAGAUUAUAAGAUUAAGUUACUUUAGGGAUAACAGCGUAAUUUUUUUUAAGAGUCCAUAUCGAAAAAAAAGUUUACGACCUCGAUGUUGAAUUAAAAUUCCCUUAUG